CUCCAGACUCCUACGGGAGGCAGCAGUGGGGAAUAUUGCACAAUGGGGGAAACCCUGAUGCAGCGACGCCGCGUGAGCGAUGAAGUAUUUCGGUAUGUAAAGCUCUAUCAGCAGGGAAGAAAAUGACGGUACCUGACUAAGAAGCCCCGGCUAACUACGUGCCAGCAGCCGCGGUAAUACGUAGGGGGCAAGCGUUAUCCGGAUUUACUGGGUGUAAAGGGGGCGCAGACGGCAGCGCAAGCCAGGAGUGAAAGCCCGGGGCCCAACCCCGGGCCUGCUCUUGGAACUGCGCGGCUGGAGUGCAGGAGGGGCAGGCGGAAUUCCUGGUGUAGCGGUGAAAUGCGUAGAUAUCAGGAGGAACACCGGUGGCGAAGGCGGCCUGCUGGACUGCGACUGACGUUGAGGCCCGAAAGCGUGGGGAGCAAACAGGAUUAGAUACCCGCGUACC
rnacentral:rRNA from 1 species